GAUGAAGAACGUAGCAAAAUGCGAUAAGUAAUGUGAAUUGCAGAAUUCAGUGAAUCAUCGAAUCUUUGAACGCACAUUGCGCCCGCCAGUAUUCUGGCGGGCAUGCCUGUUCGAGCGUCAUUUCAACCCUCAAGCACAGCUUGGUGUUGGGACUCGCGUUAAUUCGCGUUCCUCAAAUUGAUUGGCGGUCACGUCGAGCUUCCAUAGCGUAGUAGUAAAACCCUCGUUACUGGUAAUCGUCGCGGCCACGCCGUUAAACCCCAUCUUCUGAAUGUUGACCUCGGAUCAGGUAGGAAUACCCGCUGAACUUAAGCAUAUCAAUAAGCGGAGGA
rnacentral:misc_RNA from 1 species